rnacentral:lncRNA from 1 species
AAAGACCUCAUCUUACGAGCAUACAUGGGUUAAAAAAAUAUGUAAAACGCAUCGAACACGGUGUUCAUCUAAUAGGCAAUAGGUUGGUGUGAACAGACAGUACAUUUGAAAUGCUAAUUACAACCUUAAGCAGAAAAUGUCAGUCCUGGUAAUCCAUGGAAACCCCCCAACUCCCAAAAAGUGGUAUUUUUUUCCUUUACUGUGUCAAUAAGAGAGAGGGAGGGAGGGAGGAAGAAGAGAAAGAAGAGGAAGAGAGAGAGAGAAGAAGGGGGAGGAGGAGGAGGAAGGAAGGAAGGAAGGAAGGAAGGAAGGAAGGAAGAAAGAAAGAAAGAAAGAAAGAAAGAAAGAAAGAAAGAAAGAAAGAAAGAAAGAAAGAAAGAAAGAAAAAAGAAAGAAAGAAAAAAGAAAGAAAGAAAGAAAGAAAGAAAAUGGUCCUGGAGAGCUCAGCAGGUAAAAGCAUUUGCUGAACAGUGUGGUGACCUGAGUUCCAACCCCCAGAAGCCCCAGGUCAAGGCAAACGGCUGACUCCACAGUUGACCUUUAUACAAGACAUGUGUAUGCACACACAGAGAAACACACACGUACACAAAUAAAACAUAAAAU